rfam:Lactobacillus diolivorans DSM 14421 NODE_166, whole genome shotgun sequence.
UAAUUGCUGAUAUAUACGCCUAAGACUCAGGUGGCUAUUGCCUUAAUAUCCUGCCGAGGAAAGAAUCUUAUUUCCUAUGUCUAGGUAUGGCAUAGGGAUUUUUUUUAAAUCCC